rnacentral:rRNA from 1 species
UACGUAGGGGGCAAGCGUUGUCCGGAAUUACUGGGCGUAAAGCGCGUGUAGGCGGCUACGUGUGUCGGGCGUGAAAUCCCAUGGCUCAACCAUGGAAGUGCACCCGAAACUGCGUAGCUAGAGUCCUGGAGAGGAAGGUGGAAUGCUUGGUGUAGAGGUGAAAUUCGUAGAUAUCAAGCGGAACACCGGUGGCGAAGGCGGCCUUCUGGACAUUAACUGACGCUGAGGAGCGAAAGCAUGGGGAGCGAACAGG